rnacentral:rRNA from 1 species
AACGAACGCUGGCGGCAUGCCUAACACAUGCAAGUCGAACGAGACCUUCGGGUCUAGUGGCGCACGGGUGCGUAACGCGUGGGAACCUGCCCUUAGGUUCGGAAUAACUCCCCGAAAGGGGUGCUAAUACCGGAUAAUGUCUUCGGACCAAAGAUUUAUCGCCUUUGGAUGGGCCCGCGUUGGAUUAGCUAGUUGGUAGGGUAAAAGCCUACCAAGGCGACGAUCCAUAGCUGGUCUGAGAGGAUGAUCAGCCACACUGGGACUGAGACACGGCCCAGACUCCUACGGGAGGCAGCAGUGGGGAAUAUUAGACAAUGGGCGAAAGUCUGAUCCAGCAAUGCCGCGUGAGUGAUGAAGGCCUUAGGGUUGUAAAGCUCUUUUACCCGGGAUGAUAAUGACAGUACCGGGAGAAUAAGCUCCGGCUAACUCCGUG